GACGAACGCUGGCGGCGUGCUUAACACAUGCAAGUCGAACGGUAAGGCCCUUCGGGGUACACGAGUGGCGAACGGGUGAGUAACACGUGGGUGAUCUGCCCUGCACUUCGGGAUAAGCCUGGGAAACUGGGUCUAAUACCGGAUAGGACCCUGGGAUGCAUGUCCUGGGGUGGAAAGCUUUUGCGGUGUGGGAUGGGCCCGCGGCCUAUCAGCUUGUUGGUGGGGUGAUGGCCUACCAAGGCGACGACGGGUAGCCGGCCUGAGAGGGUGACCGGCCACACUGGGACUGAGAUACGGCCCAGACCCCUACGGGAGGCAGCAGUGGGGAAUAUUGCACAAUGGGCGCAAGCCUGAUGCAGCGACGCCGCGUGAGGGAUGACGGCCUUCGGGUUGUAAACCUCUUUCAGCACCGACGAAGCGCAAGUGGCGGUAGGUGCAGAAGAAGGACCGGCCAACUACGUGCCAGCCGCCGCAGUAA
rnacentral:rRNA from 1 species